GUUUAGCACGCUUAGUUUAAUUAGAAUUGCAUUAAACUUUACAUGAUAGCUGGAGUUCUAAACUAAAAACAACACAUAUUUGUAAAUUAUUUUAAUUGCCUAUUAAGAAAUUAACAUUUUCAUUGUAAAUAGUUCUUGUGACUAAUUCAGGCAUUUUCUGUUGAGGAUCAUAUUAAAUCCAGAAGGUCUUGAACGUUUUUUGACAAUGGUGUUUGUACAAGCGGAUAAAAAGAAAACGCAAACCGAUGCUUAAUAGUCAGAAAGUCCGAUUGUCGUCCGUGUGGUGGUUUGGCUCAUCCAAAUAUCGUCCAUUGAAAAUAUUCAGGAAAAUGAUACUGACAAACCAAAAGUAUAUAGAUUUUUUUUUUAGAUUUAUUAUCCAUCACUGAAACAGCCCUGCAGCAUGAAUUGUAGAGAUUAUUGGCAUUCAUCACAUAGUUGUCCAUGCAAGGUCUACUCGGCAGAGAGUUUCAUUAUUUUCCUUCUCCUGGGUUUAGCUGGAGCCUAUCAACAGGGAAAGAGUGGACAAAAACGAGCUGUGAAUAAAUGAAGAAAGUAUGUAUUGUAUCAAACGCAAUAGUUUUUGAAUGAUGAUUAAUCAAUAUUUUUAUUAAAGUGGUUAUAAACGUUUAAUAAAUUAGAGUUUACUCAUUAAAUUAUACAAUGCAGGCAAAAUUAGUUGAGAUUUAAAAAUGUUUAAAUGUAGCUUAGAU